CAAAGGAAUUGACGGGGACCCGCACAAGCGGUGGAGCAUGUGGUUUAAUUCGAAGCAACGCGAAGAACCUUACCAAAUCUUGACAUCCUUUGACCGCUCUAGAGAUAGAGUUUUCCUCUUCGGAGGACAAAGUGACAGGUGGUGCAUGGUUGUCGUCAGCUCGUGUCGUGAGAUGUUGGGUUAAGUCCCGCAACGAGCGCAACCCUUGAACUUAGUUGCCAUCAUUCAGUUGGGCACUCUAAGUUGACUGCCGGUGACAAACCGGAGGAAGGUGGGGAUGACGUCAAAUCAUCAUGCCCCUUAUGAUUUGGGCUACACACGUGCUACAAUGGACAAUACAAAGGGCAGCGAAACCGCGAGGUCAAGCAAAUCCCAUAAAGUUGUUCUCAGUUCGGAUUGUAGUCUGCAACUCGACUACAUGAAGCUGGAAUCGCUAGUAAUCGUAGAUCAGCAUGCUACGGUGAAUACGUUCCCGGGUCUUGUACACACCGCCCGUCACACCACGAGAGUUUGUAACACCCGAAGCCGGUGGAGUAACCAUUUUGGAGCUAGCCGUCGAAGGUGGGACAAAUGAUUGGGGUGAAGUCGUAACAAGGUAGCCGUAUCGGAAGGUGCGGCUGGAUCACCUCCUUU
rnacentral:rRNA from 1 species